AUAACAACUGUAGAGAUAGAAAGACAGUUUAUAUAACGGAAUAUAUUUCGUCAGUAUUUUAUCCAUCAAUUUUCAUCGGAAAAAGAAAGAUUUUUAAAAAUUACUUAUUCGAUUGUGAACAUGUUUUUUUCAUUGAAAAAAUUUCUUUCCGAUUUUUGAAUUAUAUCAUUCUUCUCUUUAUUAGUCAAUUAAAUUAAAAGUACAGUGAAAUCUUUGUAAUUCUUGAAGAACAUAUACAAAUAUGGAAUAUAGCGUUUCUUAAAAAUUAAUGAAAAAAAAUUAAUCUUGAUCUCGAAUCGAGGCUUGAUUUCACUAAAAAGUUGCGAAAAUGGCGGAAAGCAUGGAUCAUAUAAUGACGAACGCUUUGACACGGAUACGAUGAAUAUUGGAUUUGACUAUACACAAAAAAACCAAGAUUUUCUCUUGCGCACAAUUCAACAACGCGAAUAUAUCAUGAAAUUAACCUUUGUCUUCGUUUCACCUCGCUUCCUUCUCGCAAUACUUUCGCAGUACCCGAGGUAUUUACGGGGGUAUAACGCGCCUCGUAUUAUUUUCGACUUGAGGUGAUUUGAAGGCUAUUUCAGUAGCGAAACGUCAACUCGUUUGCCCGCUUAUCGUUUGAUCCCAACUGCUUUUGUUUCUCUUCUCCCUCUUCUGUUCUCGCCCAAGAAAAUAUCCCCCUUUUGAUACACGAAACAGCGUUGACGAGGCUAACCCGAGUUGGUGCUAAGUCCACUCUUCAUCGCGCUUGUCAUUGACCCUCGACUAAUUCGAGGCUGCGAAAAUAAAUGCGCGGCGAAUACGCCGCCGCGCGGGACAAAGAGACAGUCAAAUGUGCUCGAGAAGCAACGAACGGCCGGCCAUUUUGGAAAAUAGGGCGCGCGAAAUUUGGACGACGACGCCCAGAGAUGGAACAAUUCCGUGGAAAUUGGCCGAGGCAGGGAAAACAUUGAUUCACACGCCAAGAGAUCGUGCGAGCUCUUUUCGGAAUCGGCCGUUUCUUCGUCAGAAAGCUUUGUCAGCUUUGCUCGUUUCUACGAACAAAGGAUUAAUCGUCGGGGAGAAUAUUUCAUAGAAUCGCGGCCAUAGCAAUUUUAGAUCCGAAGAGAAAUGCGUCGCGAAGGACGGACGGAUAUCGAUGUGGAAAUUUAAUAUACACAUUGAUCGAGGACUUAACACGGUUAUGGAGAAUGGAAGGUAUGCGGCCGUUGUUCAAGAUCCAACAAUAAUCUCUCGCGGGUUACGAGGGAAACCUCUCCCCCCCUCCUGCCUUCGAUGCGACGACAACGACGUCUACGACGCGACGACGACUCAAUACACACGGCCACGACCGAUCGUGGCAGACCGCGAAAUCAGACGACGCUAAUUGCGAAUACCAAAUGUCCAAAUUAUUUGCGAUUCGACGAAUAUUAAUUCACUCUUGUCUCGAUUUGCGCGAGCGAAUAUCGAAAUAUAUAUUAAAUUGUAAUAAAAAACGACGAUCUGACGAUUCUUUCGUAAUGAAAUUAUCAUAGGUGUCUUUUCGAAUUAGCAAUGUAUGUUUUAAAAAUAGUUGUAACAUGUACUAUUUCGAACCGUUCGAGCAAAAUUAUUGGCUCAAAUUUAUCAUUUCAUUUUUCACGAGAAUGAAUAGUUUUCAAAAUUAAAAAUAAUUCAAGAAUAAUUCGCCACAUUCGUUUGGAUAAUUAAAUGAUUAAUAAUUUGUUUUUUAAAAUGCUACUCGUGAAACAUAAAAAAUCUUCAUUUCUAUGAAAAAUAAUGAUGAUUUUUUUCAAAUUUUCUAAGUGAUGAUAUAUUCUGAUAUUUGUUACAGUUUAUUGUAUAUUUAAAAAAGGGAAAAAUUGGUAAAAGGAAUGAGUAUUUAUAAUAUUGACAAAACAUUCUAAUCUAAUCGAAUAAUUAAACGACCCAAUACCUAAUCAAUAACUAUUUUUGAUCGUUACAUUGAUCGACGAUAAUAAUUUCAAUUUUGUAAUUUUUCAAUUUUUAAUAUUUGAUUCGAUUAAAAUAUUUCAUAAUUUUACAAUAGAGAAUGAACAAGAGCGUUUCAAAGAUGGUACAUACAUUACAUGAUGGGACGACAUGACCAAAUCAAAUUCUGUAUGUGCAAUAUUGAUACUAUUAUCAUGAGCCUUUGACAGUAAGUGAUAUGUCGAUAUAGAUAUCGAUUGUAUAAACAGUCUUAAGUGCAUAUACAAUGGCGUGUGAUCAGAGGUAAAGUUAAUGUAUGGACAAGUAUGAUAAACUAACCAAACAUUAAUUUAUAUAAAGAUAUCAAACGAUAAAUUUAUCGAUAAAUUUAAAAUUUUUUAAAUUUAAUUCAUUUUAAUUUUGGAAAAUUUAAAAUUUCGAAAGAAAAAUAUGAUUAAGAUUAUAAUACGAUCAGUUCUACGUCUAAAAAAAGGAGAUUCCAAAUAAAUAUCACAAACGAUAAUAAUCACUUUGUUAAGUUUUAUAUACUUCAAAUUAUACUUUAAAAUAUAUCUUCGUGAAAUUUUUCUCAAUAUAAGCAUAUAAAUAUAAAUAUAUGUUUCUAUUGCCAAUUAACAUUCGAUUCAAUUUUUCUGAUUCUUACACUACAAUUCUUUUUUUUCUACGAUCUAUUUCACGAUAAAUGAUGAUUUCAUCGAUUAAAAUAAAAGUGGAAACAAACACAAGUCUGAAAAAUUUUAUUCAGCCGAAAAAUCCGCAUAAUUCACAAAUUUUUCUUCGUUAUGUAGAUAAUCGUAUUUUUUAUCCUAUCCAAUCGCAAAUUGAUCAGUUACAAGAAGCUUAUAAAUACGAGAACCGAUUAAAACGAUAUCGAGAAUGUUCCAAUAUGGAUAAAAUACAGCUAAGUCAUAUGAGAAAAAAGCAAAUUUUUUCCUCUGUGAGAGAUACUACCAUAUAAAUAUGAAAAUUGUAAGUCUGGCGAUAUGUUCGAAUCAAGAUUGAAAUUAUGUAUUUGUCAUUUUUCCCCUAUCAUUUUCGAACAUAGUCAAUGUUGCGUUCGUGGCAAUGUACUUAUAGCAUAUAAGUAAUCAGCCAUCGUGCCAACAAACUCAACAUCAAAUAAAUCCGUCAUGUAAGGAUAUUGAUUGGACGUUGAGGUUAUGUAAAAUGGACUACCAUGCAAGUCACGAAGUUUGUCUUGGAAGAAAUGAAACAAUCCCUCCUGAACGGCAAAACUCUUUGGUGUAUCGAUUGGUCGAACUGGUAAAUGAUUACACACAGCUCUACGGAAUCUGCACAAUAUGUAACUUGUAAAAUUGUCGAGUGAAGAAUUUUGGAUCCUCAUAAAAAAAAUAAAAAUUCAUUGAAAUCAA